UCCAUUGAUUGAUGGUGCUUGCACCUGAUUGAUUUCGUUUAACAACGAGUGGCGGACGGGUGAGUAACACGUAGGUACCCUGCCCAGAAGCGGGGGACAACAUUUGGAAACAGAUGCUAAUACCGCAUAACAGCGUUGUUCGCAUGAACAACGCUUAAAAGAUGGCUUCUCGCUAUCACUUCUGGAUGGACCUGCGGUGCAUUAGCUUGUUGGUGGGGUAAUGGCCUACCAAGGCGAUGAUGCAUAGCCGAGUUGAGAGACUGAUCGGCCACAAUGGGACUGAGACACGGCCCAUACUCCUACGGGAGGCAGCAGUAGGGAAUCUUCCACAAUGGGCGCAAGCCUGAUGGAGCAACACCGCGUGAGUGAAGAAGGGUUUCGGCUCGUAAAGCUCUGUUGUUAAAGAAGAACACGUAUGAGAGUAACUGUUCAUACGUUGACGGUAUUUAACCAGAAAGUCACGGCUAACUACGUGCCAGCAGCCGCGGUAAUACGUAGGUGGCAAGCGUUAUCCGGAUUUAUUGGGCGUAAAGAGAGUGCAGGCGGUUUUCUAAGUCUGAUGUGAAAGCCUUCGGCUUAACCGGAGAAGUGCAUCGGAAACUGGAUAACUUGAGUGCAGAAGAGGGUAGUGGAACUCCAUGUGUAGCGGUGGAAUGCGUAGAUAUAUGGAAGAACACCAGUGGCGAAGGCGGCUACCUGGUCUGCAACUGACGCUGAGACUCGAAAGCAUGGGUAGCGAACAGGAUUAGAUACCCUGGUAGUCCAUGCCGUAAACG
rnacentral:rRNA from 1 species